GACGAACGCUGGCGGCGUGCCUAAUACAUGCAAGUUGAGCGCUGAAGGUUGGUACUUGUACCAACUGGAUGAGCAGCGAACGGGUGAGUAACGCGUGGGGAAUCUGCCUUUGAGCGGGGGACAACAUUUGGAAACGAAUGCUAAUACCGCAUAAAAACUUUAAACACAAGUUUUAAGUUUGAAAGAUGCAAUUGCAUCCCUCAAAGAUGAUCCCGCGUUGUAUUAGCUAGUUGGUGAGGUAAAGGCUCACCAAGGCGAUGAUACAUAGCCGACCUGAGAGGGUGGUCGGCCAACAUGGGACUGGGACACGGCCCAAACUCCUACGGGAGGCAGCAGGAGGGAAUCUUCGGCAAUGGACGGAAGUCUGACCGGGCAACGCCGCGGGAGGGAAGAAGGGUUUCGGAUCGGAAAACUCUGUUGGUAGGGAAGAACGUUGGUGAGAGUGGAAAGCUCAUCAAGUGACGGUAACUACCCAGAAAGGGACGGCUAACUACGUG
rnacentral:rRNA from 1 species